GGAAAUGCCUGGCAGGGGAGAGCUAUGAUCAAGAAGGUGGUUUUCCCAUGGUAUGCCUUAUUCAUUGACCAUCAAAUGUUCUGACCUCUGAGUUUCCCCAAAUAUAACACAUUUGACUGUAUUGUUUGUGAUAAUUGGGAACUGCAUAACUGCUAAGCUACC